AUGGAUUUAAAUCUAUCAAGAAUUGGAGAGAAGAGAUAAACAGAGUAAAAAAAAGUAUAAAAGGGGUAAUCUUAGUACAUAAUUAUGAUUGCACUGUAACGUUAUAAGAAAAGAGAGGGAGAGUAUCAGGUAGAAUUUUUACAACAUAAAGUUUAAAAUCAUCUUUUACUACGUUGUUAAUGUCUGGUAAUCGUAAUAACUAUACCUAUCCAGAAAGC
rnacentral:lncRNA from 1 species